rnacentral:rRNA from 1 species
AAUAUUGGACAAUGGGGGCAACCCUGAUCCAGCCAUGCCGCGUGUGUGAAGAAGGCCUUCGGGUUGUAAAGCACUUUUGUUGGGGAAGAAAAGCACUGGGUUAAUACCCUGGUGUCAUGACGGUACCCAAAGAAUAAGCACCGGCUAACUACGUGCCAGCAGCCGCGGUAAAACGUAGGACGCGAACGUUAUCCGGAAUUACUGGGCGUAAAGGGCGCGCAGGCGGUCGGGUAAGUUAGGCAUGAAAGCUCCCUGGCUAAACCGGGAGAGGCUGUCUGAUACUGCCGGACUGGAGUGUGGUAGAGGGGUGUAGAAUUCUGCGUGUAGUGGUGAAAUGCGUAGAUAUGCGGAGGAAUACCAGUGGCGAAGGCGGCACCCUGGACCACAACUGACGCUGAGGCGCGAAAGCAUGGGUAGCGA